rnacentral:misc_RNA from 1 species
GAUGAAGAACGUAGCGAAAUGCGAUAAGUAAUGUGAAUUGCAGAAUUCAGUGAAUCAUCGAAUCUUUGAACGCACAUUGCGCCCCCUGGUAUUCCGGGGGACAUGCCUGUUCGAGCGUCAUUUCACCACUCAAGCCUCGCUUGGUAUUGGGCAUCGCGGUCCGCCGCGCGCCUCAAAUCGACCGGCUGGGUCUUCUGUCCCCUAAGCGUUGUGGAAACUAUUCGCUAAAGGGUGUUCGGGAGGCUACGCCGUAAAACAACCCCAUUUCUAAGGUUGACCUCGGAUCAGGUAGGGAUACCCGCUGAACUUAAGCAUAUCAAUAAGCGGAGGA